CACGUAGGGGGCAAGCGUUGUCCGGAUUUAUUGGGCGUAAAGAGCUCGUAGGUGGCUUAGUAAGUCGGGUGUGAAACCUCCAGGCUCAACCUGGAGACGCCACCCGAUACUGCUAUAGCUUGAGUCCGGUAGGGAGCGUGGAAUUCCUGGUGUAGCGGUGAAAUGCGCAGAUAUCAGGAGGAACACCAGCGGCGAAGGCGGCGCUCUGGGCCGGUACUGACACUGAGGAGCGAAAGCGUGGGGAGCAAACAGG
rnacentral:rRNA from 1 species